rnacentral:rRNA from 1 species
UACUGAUCGCAGUCGGCCUUGUGUGUCGGCGACGGAUCUUUCAAAUGUCUGCCCUAUCAAUUUGUUGGUAGGUGAUUUGCCUACCAUGAUGAUAACGGGUAACGGGGAAUCAGGGUUCGAUUCCGGAGAGGGAGCCUGAGAAAUGGCUACCACAUCCAAGGACGGCAGCAGGCGCGAAAAUUACCCACUCCCAGCACGGGGAGGUAGUGACGAAAAAUACGGAUACGGGACUCAAUUGAGGCUCCGUAAUUCGAAUGAGUACAAUUUAAAUCCUUUAACGAGGACCAAUUGGAGGGCAAGUCUGGUGCCAGCAGCCGCGGUAACUCCAGCUCCAAAAGCGUAUAUUAAAGUUGCUGCAGUUAAAAAGCUCGUAGUUGGAUCUGGGUAGUGCGAUCGCAUGCUGUUGCUUGUUCACGGUCUUGGUUACGAUCAGGGCAGUGGUCAGCUCGGCGUAGUGGUUGUGCAACCUUUCAGCCGUGUCUGUGUUUUAUUAAACAGGUGUCGAUGGGUUAAUGAGUAUUGUAUCUUAUUGACCUGUUGGCAUGCUUUCGGAUGCCUUUAAACGGGUGUCGGGGGCGGACGGCAUCUUUACUUUGAACAAAUUUGAGUGCUCAAAGCAGGCCUAUGCGCCUGAAAAUUCUUGCAUGGAAUAAUGAAAUAGGACUUCGGUUCUAUUUUGUUGGUUUUCGGAUCCGAAGUAUGGUUAAGAGGGACAGACGGGGGCAUUGUAUGGCGGUGUUAGAGGUGAAAUUCUGGGAUCGCCGCCAGACAAACUACAGCGAAAGCAUUUGCCAAGAAUGUUUUCAUUGAUCAGGAGCGAAAGUCAGAGUUUCGAAGACGAUCAGAUACCGUCGUAGUUCUGACCAUAAACGAUGCCAACUGACGAUCCGCGUUGGUUCUAUAAUUGACAUCGCGGGCAGUCCCCGGGAAACCUUUAAGUCUUUGGGCUCCGGGGGGAGUAUGGUUGCAAAGCUGAAACUUAAAGGAAUUGACGGAAGGGCACCACCAGGAGUGGAGCCUGCGGUUUAAUUCGACUCAACACGGGAAAACUCACCCGGCCCGGACACUGUGAGGAUUGACAGAUUGAAAGCUCUUUCUUGAUUCGGUGGUUGGUGGUGCAUGGCCGUUCUUAGUUGGUGGAGCGAUUUGUCUGGUUAAUUCCGAUAACGAACGAGACUUUAACCUACUAAAUAGUAGACUGGUCCUCUGUGCUCGUUCAGGGCGCGGCUUCUACUGCUUCUUUAUGGAGUAGUGUGGUCGUGAUCCGACGGGUGCGGUGCCAGUUUUUACUUCUUAGAGGGACAAG